UACGUAGGGUGCGAGCGUUGUCCGGAAUUACUGGGCGUAAAGAGCUCGUAGGUGGUUUGUCGCGUUGUCCGUGAAAACUCACAGCUUAACUGUGGGCGUGCGGGCGAUACGGGCAGACUGGAGUACUGCAGGGGGAGACUGGAAUUCCUGGUGUAGCGGUGGAAUGCGCAGAUAUCAGGAGGAACACCAAUAGCGAAGGCAGCUCGCUGGGACGGUAUUGACGCUAAGGCGCGAAAGCGUGGGGAGCAAACAGG
rnacentral:rRNA from 1 species